rnacentral:rRNA from 1 species
UACGUAGGUGGCAAGCGUUGUCCGGAUUUACUGGGCGUAAAGGGCGUGCAGGCGGUUUGUUAAGUCUAGGGUGAAAGCUCCCGGCUCAACUGGGAGAGGUCCUUGGAUACUGGCGAACUUGAGGGAUGCAGAGGAAAGUGGAAUUCCCGGUGUAGUGGUGAUAUGCGUAGAUAUCGGGAGGAACACCAGUGGCGAAGGCGGCUUUCUGGGCAUUUCCUGACGCUGAGACGCGAAAGCGUGGGUAGCAAACGGG